AUGUCUACACCCUGUCCCGUGGUCUAUGGCAUCUUACUCAAGAUGCCAUGGAACAGGGGGCCACUGAGCUGGAUGCCAGAGGGACGUCUGGAUAGCAAGUUAGGCUGGACUCUUGACCCUCCGCAAUGGGGACAGUUGGAAAAACCCCCAAACGGAGAAGCAGAGCCCAAGAACAAUGUCAGGAAAAGGUCACGGAAAGCAGUGCUCUGUCCGACAGCAUCUCGGGUCUCCUGUUACCAGGAGGGAUGCCUUGGGCUCCAUCCGCAGCAGCUAAAGCCCUUCUCUAAAGAGGUAGCGUGCAAGCUUUCUGACCCAAACCAUAGGGUGAGAGAGACGGGAAUGGAGGUGGGGGGGGGGAGAGGAAGGGGGAGGAGGGAGGGAUGGGGGGAGAUCUGGUUGAUUCGAACCUUUUUCUGAGUGGAACGGAAGGGAGUGUGCAUGUGUGCGUGCGCCGGCGCACUGGAGGCAGCUCAGAAGUAGACCGUUGAGCUCCCCCUGGAAGCAGUAUAAUCUCCUCCUACUUAGUAGGAGUUGCCCUUUUCUAACACCCAUACAGGUAUUCUCCAGAAUUCAAAAAUCAGUGUUUUUCAGAUGGCAAGUCCAGAUCCAUGAGCCCAAUCAUGAAAAAUGUAUGGGGUCCUGAUCAGAUUUUGAUUUAUUAGCUAGAAGAAAUGCACAAUGGAAAACAUCAGACAACACUGCACUCAGGGAAGGUCAGCUUUUGUCUCACGAAUCUUUUUACUUUGGGUGUGUUUGUGCCAGAUCAUGUAAUAUGCACUUCUCACUGAGGGUUGCGGUCCUACAGUUGGAAACCCAUCACCUGCAGGUGUGAUCUGUGUGGAGUUGUCCUGAGGAUGGAUGGUGGAAGGCAUAAAGCCAGGACUGAGAGGGUUUGACUUGAAACCAUAGGCAAUAGGGAGCCAUUGAGUACUCUUGAGUGGUAGAGUCACCGUGAGGACCUCAGACCGUCCCCCACCCACAUAUACACGCAUCCAACCACACACAUGGCAUUUGGAAUUUUCCUCCUUGGCAAGUUGUGUGGUUCAACAACCACUGACUGUGGACAUGAUGCAGAAUAUUAUCCAACCUAGGGCUUUUAGGACAGACUAAUCCCACUGCCUUUCCCCUCACUUUACAGAUUGGGAAACAGACUUCAAGAUGGGAAACCACUUACCUGGGGUUACCUAGCAAGACUCAUGGCUGCUCAUCUCAGGAUCU
rnacentral:lncRNA from 1 species